GCUGACAGCAACACGUCGGCCUGUUUGAACCGACAGAGAGAGUCAGACCCAAUAAAAGCCGAUCAGAGCUGCAGGUUUGAUGGAGAAGACUGAUGAAGAAGACGAGGACAGUCUGAAGACAGAGAGGACGGACGCUCACUUCUCACCCAGAGACUCCGGGGAGGACGGAGAGUCCUCGGUGUGGUUAAAGACGACAGACUCACCUGUCAGACUGAGCAGCUGACGGGUCGCAUCACUGCAGGCCAGAUUCAGCUGUUUCUCUUCAACACGUUCAAGCUGCUCGAUGGUAAAAAAAACCUUCAGAGCCUUUUUUUUGAUUAUUUUUUGUACUUUGUGUCUUGAGCUGAACUUUUGUUGGACUGAUUCUAUUUACUUCCUGUCUUUCUCUCGCGUUGAAAUACAGAGUUUUCUCUAUGAUAUUUCCUCAUUUCAAUACAAAAACCUACAUAAGGCAGCACCUGGAAGUUUCUGGUUAAGUUGCUGUUGGUUAUAUUGAGUCAUUUCCAGUAAAGGAACAUUUAAACAUCAUCAUAUAAAAGGUUUCUGUUAGGAUAUCAAGGACUCAGCCAUCUUGUACCUGAGCGGUUACAUCUCCAGUCUGAUCUGAGGUCAACAGCUGAGGUUUGUUUACAUGAAUAAAGAAAUAAAUAAAGAAUAUUUAACAGCUUCACUGUGGAUGAAGGAAUGAUUCACUCUUCAUAAGGACACCUGACUGCUGGUUUAACACAUGUUCAGAAAAUUGGGGCCUGUCUUAUAAACAUCUGGAGGAUUUUAAAAAUUUUAUUUAUUUGUAUUUAUUUGUAUUUAUUUUGAACAGGGACAACAUCGCUGUAAAGGCUCAUUAUUAACUGUUAAAAACAACAUUAAAACAAACAGAAGGAAGCAGCUGAUUCAGACAGAAGACAUGAAAUAUAACUCGAGCAAUGAGAGAGAAUGAAGAUCAGCUGAUGACGAUCAGCACGUCAUUCUCGUACUCGUGUAACAGGCCACAGGUCCUUUUAGCAAGACGUCUCAUCCUAUAGGAGUGGAAAUCUCUGUCUUUCUGCAUAGUUAGAGUUUGAUAACAGUCAUCAAUGAUAGAACGUUUCAUGUCAUUUAUGUUUAGUUCAGACAGAAAAAAUAUGUAAAUUGUGAAUAAGUGAUAAUAUGUGAGGUGAGAGCAUGGUGGGUUUGUUUGGGGAUACUUGUGUCAGUCACAUACGCUCCUCACACAGGACGGGUUUUUUUUUUAUUGAUUGUAUUGAUUAUUCUGCCGGUUAAACCCUGCUGUCACCGCUCCGAGUGAAGAAAAUCCCUCCAGACGACACAAAGUUCCCCAAACGAGCCGAACACACUCCGACAAAACAAACCUCCAAACUGUCAAAUAAGGAAAAAUAACAGUAAACCUCCACCUGGAAGCAGGUGAAACACCAGACAGGAAUCCUGCUUUGAACUAAUAUCACAGAAAGAAACAGGAGUCGAGAAAAGAAGCUCCGAGUUUCCCGCCAGGAGAGGCUUCCUGCCCCGGCUGCACCGCAGGCUGAUCACAGCGGUGACACUUUAAAUUUACUACAGAUAAAGACACUGAAACUAUAGUGAAAGGUUGCUGGUAUGAUGUCACUGUUACUAUCAACAUUUUCACUAU